rnacentral:rRNA from 1 species
GACGAACGCUGGCGGCGUGCUUAACACAUGCAAGUCGAGCGGUAAGGCCCUUUCGGGGGUACACGAGCGGCGAACGGGUGAGUAACACGUGGGUGACCUGCCUUUAGCUCUGGGAUAAGCCUGGGAAACCGGGUCUAAUACCGGAUAUGACUCCGCGGCGCAUGUUGUGGGGUGGAAAGCCUUGUGCGGCUAGGGAUGGGCCCGCGGCCUAUCAGCUUGUUGGUGGGGUGAUGGCCUACCAAGGCGACGACGGGUAGCUGGCCUGAGAGGGCGACCGGCCACACUGGGACUGAGACACGGCCCAGACUCCUACGGGAGGCAGCAGUGGGGAAUCUUGCGCAAUGGGCGAAAGCCUGACGCAGCGACGCCGCGUGAGGGAUGAC